GUGGUUGUAGCUCAGUUGGUUAGAGCAUCGGUUUGUGGUACCGAGGGUCGUCGGUUCGAGCCCGAUCUUCCACC
rnacentral:tRNA from 1 species